GACAUCAGAUUCACUCUACAUAGAGACCAGUACAGCACAGAGAUCCAGCCAUGGCACCUACAAUCACUUCAGCUGUGAUCUACUCUAAUGAGCACCUGACUCUGACCAACAAGAUAAGAAAGCCAGUGGUUGAGAAGUUACGCAGAGAUAGUUUCAACAACAGCAUUGAGAAGCUCAAGUCUCUCUUGGAGAGAGCCUCAACCAGCAGCCAGAUUUCAAAAUGGAGAAAGCCGACAUCUUAGAGAUGACAGUUUGGUUCGUGAGACGACAGCAACAGAACCAGCCAGUGAGCUCCUCCUCAGCACCAUUCAAUCAGGGUUACUCAGGUGUGUCCAAGAGAUUGUGCACUUCCUGACCAAGGAUGAGGUGAAGACACAAACCCAGAGAGACUGCUGAGCCACUUCCAGAGCCUGCAUCCAUCCUCUGAUAAGAAAAGGAGGGAGAGUGACCUGCCUCAGUUCAGCUCAAAGGCCCAGUACAGCACCAGCAAAGAGAAGAGUCCAGUCCACACUGCUCUCUGGAGGCCCUGGUAAAGUCCUACAUACUGGAACUCCACUCUCAAACAAACGCAAUGCACCAUGUUGGUCUAACAUUAAUGUGAUGGACAGUGAUCAGAGAUCUUCUUCAUAUUCUGCUUGUGCAGGAUGUUAAAAGUCGUUUCGAUUGAAACUUUUCAUUUCAGUUGUACUGAACAAGUUAAAAUGUUUAUCUAAUAUAAAACACUGAAAUCUGCAUUUUUGUAACGUUAAUAACCUUUGUUUUGUGAAGCACCAUCAUGUGUUGAUUAUGUUGAUAAUUUGCUUAUUAAUGAUGAACUUCAACAGUCGUCCAUGAGGACUUCUAACCCAAAAUGUGUAUUAUAUCUUCCAUCUUUUUGUGAUGAUCUGUUACCGAUCUGUUUAAAGGUCAACACUUAUCAAGAAUAAGCUAUUUUGUUACAAUUGAAUUGUUGUAACGAUAUAGUCAUAUUAACAUUAUAUUGAGCAUCUUCUGUGAGGUAUGUAUCAGUAUUAGUUAACCAUUUGUUAUUGAUCAACUUGAGCUACAGAAUCACUGAUUCUCCAUGAUGAUUAUUUACCCACACUGGGAAUUGUACCUGUUAUCAUCACUCUGUGAUUAGAACUAAUUGAUUUGUUUAAAGAUCAGACUUUGUGUGAAAAUGUUGUUCAAAUUAUUUUAAUAAUGUGUUUAUUGUAACGGGUAGAAAAUGUUCUCUCUCAAUGUGAAACCUCAAUUUAUUUUGGACAAUAUGUUGUCUUUUAUAAAGACAGUAAAUGUGUAUCAUAUACUCUGUUCGAGUAUCAUAUGUCUUGGAGAUUGAUCCAAGUGUAAUGUGUAAUCACAUAAUCACACCUUAUAUUUAGGUGUCUAUGAUGCGACUCCUUGAGUCAAUGUCAAUAAAUCCCAAAAUAAUGAAAUUAAAUAAUUUUUUAUUGUUCUUGAUCUUUCCUGUAAUCGACAUAUUGACUGUAGACUACAAUGCAGAUCUACUGUAUAAGGUCAUACUUACUUUUGCAAUGAUUGGUAAUGAAGUUUUGGAAGAUUAAAAUAUUGCAUCGCAAUCAAGUAAUCUACAGUGGUCCCAGUUAUGAGCAGAAACAGAAAUAGUGAUGGCUGUAUGUGUCUAACAUGCCGAUCACAUGCAACACCAUCAAGCGUGCGGUCAGUAUGUCAGACACCUAAAGGAAUCACAAGUUGAAAUAUCAAAACAGACUCUGAACCAACCUUAUUAGAUUUGGGACAGGUCGAAAAGCAUGAAACAUUUAUGGAAAUUUAGCUAGCUAGCUAGCUUGCUGUUGCCAGCUAAUUUGGCCUGUGAUAUAAACAUUGAGUUGUUA
ensembl:lncRNA